UACGUAGGGUGCAAGCGUUGUCCGGAAUUAUUGGGCGUAAAGAGCUCGUAGGCGGCUUGUCGCGUCGACUGUGAAAUCCCGAGGCUCAACUUCGGGCUUGCAGUCGAUACGGGCAUCACUGGAGUUCGGCAGGGGAGACUGGAAUUCCUGGUGUAGCGGUGAAAUGCGCAGAUAUCAGGAGGAACACCGGUGGCGAAGGCGGGUCUCUGGGCCGAUACUGACGCUGAGGAGCGAAAGCGUGGGGAGCGAACAGG
rnacentral:rRNA from 1 species